AUAGCAAAUGGGAUAUCUGUCUGUAUCAGCUCUGGAGCGAACUGUUUUAGACCUUUCAACUUAAAACUGCAUGAACAAAUAAAGCUAGUAUCUGUCCACAGAUAAUAAAUUUAAAUAUCUGAGGACCUAGGGUGAAAAUAUGAUUAUGCCCUGACAAGCAUCAUCUAUAGUCCUCACUUCUCAUUACCUCUUAGAGAUUUGUGCCAGAAGAAAUUAAAUAAAUUUAGAAAUCAAUAUAGUUUCAUUAUCUACAUACCCAGUAUACAAAGGUUUGGUGCCAAAUAGAUGUUUCUUUUUUCAAUUUUGUUUUUUUGCUAAUUGCACUAUCCUUAUUUGUUAUAUGAGAAUUGAUGAAAAGAAAAGUAAUUUUAAUCUUGACGGUAAGAAUUUCACUGCUAUGUGAGCGGUGAAUGAUUAUGAAACGGAUGUCUGUUUUGUUAAAGAAAAGUAAUUGUAAUCUUUCUGCAACAGUAAGACGGCUACAGUAGGGCGGUUACUGUAGUGGCAGUAGGUCGGUUACUGUAGUGGCAGUAGGUUGGUUUUUUUCCCUUACGUAUUGGGCUGACCCCCUCCCCCCUGUAAAACACAUUUGGAUGAGUUUCAAUUCAACAGAGGCUGUUAGCGGCUAUAGGUUUUUGGAUGUUUAAAUAAACAUCAGAAGUUACUCGUAGCAAGAAAACUCCUGUGUCCAGUGUGUGCUCGCUUGUGUUUUUAUACAACCCACCUCUUGUAGGAUCAAAUCCAACAUGUUUUAGAACUACUGUUUAAAAUAUCUUCUUGGCAGGCGUACAAGCCUUUAGUAUCCAACUAAUGACAAUUAGAUUCUUUUUCCCACUUCAAGUGUUAGCCUCUUAAAUUCUGAACAUCCUUGGAGGGUAAGAAGCCCAAUUUGCGUUCUGUGAGAAGGGAUGCCACCUUAUGACAUUAGUAGAAGAUUGUGCCCUGUUUUAAUGCUUUUCAGGAUAGAAUUAUAGGAUGCGAACAUAUGUUUAUUCUUGUAGCUGUACAUAUGUGUGACAUGUGACUAGUCACUUUUAAGAUCCAAUAUUGUACUCUUUGUUCUUUUAUAUUUUCCAAAUCAACUAUUAUAUGUUUUUUCUACUUGUUGGAACUCGGUUCCUAGACAAGGUGAGUUUUCGGAUAUGGAGAUAUCGAAGGGCACUUAGAGCGACACGUGUUGGAGACGGAACAGUUUUUUGAUACCCUUUUCGGUUGCACUGUGGCUCUAUUUAUAGCCCGUACUCGGCAACUAUAGGUGCUGUUUACAAAUCCUACCCCCUUACCUGCUAUAUUCCCGGAAUAUCCGAGGGCAUUAUGGUAUAAAUGAGUAUAAUCACAUAAUUACAGCAGUACCCUGGGCGGCCGAAAUCGGGCCCACUGUGUCGAGGUGAUUCAUCUCUCCGACGGGCAUCGAAGCCUCCUCCGCUCAGAUGCUCGUCGGAUAGCCUUCGUCCCCCGGCGAAGGUCAGCUUGCGUCUUCGUCCGCUGCGAACGCUGCAGACUGCGGGUCCGGGCUUCGCUCUUCAGUCGAAGGUCUCCUUUGUCUUCGCCGGUAUGGGAGGUCGAAGAUGCGAGCGCAGCUACAACAUUCGACCAACGUCGCUCUACGAUCUUCGCCGCUAGCAGAUGAACUUCCUGUAACAAAACCACAAAGGCUAUCACGCAGCAUUUCGAGUAGACUUCGCGGUUCCCUUCGAAGUAGGGGGGGGGGAUCAUCCCCAACAGUAGCCCCCUACUGGUAAGGUUUAUCUUCGUUAGACCGAGCCUGUAGCUUGCGAGAUAUCUCAAUGCCGUCCCCUUCGGCCUGUCGAAGUCUACUGGGGUCAAUGCAUGUCGUUGAGUUUUAUUGUUGUGUAUAAGGUUUUUUUUAAUUGAUUGACAGACGGCCCCUUGGUAACUUCCGAAAGGUCUCAGUAACUGCCCGCAUUUAAUGUUCUUGAUGUAUAUCAAAGCAUGGUUUUCGGCGCCGGUUCAAUUUUCGAUGCGGGCAAUUGUAACCGCCACCGCCUUGCACUAUAAAUAUCAUGCCGCUGUCAAUAUUUUUUACCACACCUUUGCUGAAGCCGUCGCUCUCGUACAAAGUCGACUAAACUUUCUCGAGCCUUUCGGAGGAAGCCCUCGGUUUUCAACUCCUCGCGCAAUCUGUUGUUCGAGUCACUCUCUUUGGACCAGAUGGCGCCGAAGUUUCAAUCUUCUCGCCCGAAGACUUACUAGAUCGGGCAGUCCAAGGUGGACAGCGAAGUGUUGGCCGGCCUUGUGAGGGAAGGUUUAAAUAGCGAUGUUUCGAAGGUCCGGCUACCCGGCGAACAGGAGACACCGGAGCUGACUGAUGACGAGGCUGUUGUGUUUGUGCAUUACUUCCGAGCGGGUCUUCGCCUCCCGUGCGAUAAGAUGGUCGUUGAAGUACUGAAAUUGUUCGAAGUCUAUCUCCAUCAACUGACCCCCAACGCAAUAGUGAGGAUGGGGCUCUUCGCCUGGGUAGCUCGUUCGGAAGGUGUGAAAGCAUCCGCCAGGGCCUUCGCUGCCGCACACCGACUUCACCACCAACCCUAGUCAGUCUUCACUCGUGGAGUUCAGAGCGAGGCUCACUAUGGGUGCUUGAAUUUCGCGUAUCGCGCUGGACUAUCUACGCCCGUCGUGGUGUAUAAGAACAAAUGGUCUAGUGACUGGACCCAAUGGUGGUUCUACCACAAGGUGGACACCGAGGAGUAUCUCGUAUCAAAUGCGAAGAGGUGAAGGGAAACCGUGCACCAGAUGUGCGACUGAAGUAGUCGCAACAGACGGCUCUUGAGGCCUUCGUCAGGUGCGCAAAAUAUCUUUCAACUCGUGACCUGGUGGAGGAGUUCAUAGCUGUCGGAGUUUGGCCCCUGAGACGGGAUUGGGCUAUUCCGGAGUUCGGGGAAAAAGGGCCCGAGGGGCUUUGCCGGCCCCACCCUGCUGUACAUGGCUUCGCAGGUACUCUCUUAUCCGUAGUUGCUCAUACAAUUUAUGUCUGUCCUUGCUUAACGGUUUUGAUAUUUUCCAGAUUUGUCGGUGGCUGAAGUAGAGGCUAGGGCUGUAAUGCAGGUCGGCAAGUUCACACCAGGCGAAGCACAACUCUGUGCCGAACAAGGUCUCAUUCGAAGACUGAAUAGUCUUUGAAUAUCGUGGCCUAUCCUAUCUUGAACGGCCAAAGAUCGCCACCGUGCUACAGGGUGGCAUGGAAGGUUCUCCGGCAGCAGACGCGGGCGAAGAGGCCGCCGUUGGCCCUUCAACGAAGAGAAAGAAACCUGAGCAAUCGCCGAAGGGAGGUCGGACUAAGAAAGCUCUCGCCCUUCGGAAGAGGCCACGCGAAGUUGCACCCGAAGUUACUCAUGCAGAAACAUCUCCAGAGGGUUUCGCUGCGUCGCGCGAUAUGCCCCGGCGGGAAACUUCCGAAGGCGCGCAGGAGGGCCAGGCCUCGAAGUCAUUGUUUUGCUCCCGCAUCGAUCUUCCAACACUGAUCCUGAUCGAUGAUGAGGAGUUGACAGAGGCGGGGACGUUACCCGAGGCCACCACUCAGGAGCCCGAAGCCGAGGGUACCGACAACGUUGAAGUGGUGGCGUACUCCUCGCCCUCUUCGCCUUCGAGCUCGUCCUUUGAGACCGAAGCAUCGACACCAAGUGCGCCCUGCCGCGGCGGGAAGGGAUUAAUGGGCCUCGGCGGGCUGCUUGACGCGAAGGCCAUUGCGUCUGAGGCGUUGAGGCGUGCCUCUUUUGAGCCAAGCGCCGAGGAGGUUGGUGACGCGAAGAAGAUUUUUGGUACCUUCGUCCUCCCCGAACUCGAAAUCCCUCUCGGCCAGAAGUCCACUAACGAGCUGCUCGAUGCCUCCGACGUGGUCAUUGCGAAGGUUUUGCUUCUAUCGCGGGCUCAGCGUAAGCAUGUUGGGAAAUCUGAAGCCCGGGCACGGAGCGCACACGCACAGAUUGAUAUGCUGCAAAAACGGGUAGAGAAAGCUGACGGCCAAAAACGCGAGUUGUCGCGUCGAGCGAAGAAUGCUGAAUCGCGCCUGGAACAGCUUGAAAAAGAGCUCAGCACCCUUCGCUCGGAGAAGCAAAUUGCCGAAAACGAAGUAAACUGCCUUCGCCAAAACCUGCAGUCCUCUGAGGCGCAAGUGUGUGACCUGCAGGCACUUUGUGCAUCGGAGAAGGCAAAAACGCAACGGCUGCAAUCCGAAUUGUGCGAGGCGAAGGCUUUUUCAUUAGGGAGCUCGAGCCGAAGGCAGUUGCCGCAUGCGAAGCCAUCAGCCAUACCUUCGAAGGUAUUGGUGUCUCGGCGACUCCCCCAACAAUAGAACUUGUCAGGCUGGGGGGACUUAUAGGUUGGAUCAACGAAACCAGCGGAAGCCUUUUGCCUGUCGCUCAACUUUAUGGCGACUUCUGCGCAAUGGUUGCUGCCCGAAAUCUCGUGCAGUCUAUUGAGAUGACAGGUUGUGAUCAUCAUACUGCUCUUCAGAAGCCUUCCUUCCAGUAUCUGGUGGAUCUGUCUACCUCAGCUGUUACGAAAGCGUCGAAGAGCACCGCUCGAUCAUUUACCACCAACUACUGGUGCAAGCACGGUCGCGAGCUCGCUCUUCGAGAAGCGGAGAUGAACCGACAACGGGCGAAGGAGAGGGAUGAUUCCUCGUCGAAAGCGACAACCGCAACGGCCGAAGAUACUGGAAAGGUUUCCAUGUUGAUGAUUCAGAGGUUACAUUAAAUGUUUGCCUUGGCAAACAAUUUUCUGGUGGUGAAUUAUACUUCCGAGGCAUUCGAUGUGAGAAUCAUGUGAAUUCAGAGACACAGCAUGAGGAAAUGUAUGAUUAC